rnacentral:snRNA from 1 species
AAAAAGGGCAGAUCUUUUUUAGGACUCAGGCAGGCAUACAAUGUCGAAAGCUUGAGGUGAAUCGCGAUCAAGAGAUUUGCUCUGCGUAAUUUUUUAUCGCCGCUUGAAUGGGCCUUAAUGGCUAACUCAGCGGC